CUCGGCCCUGGGACUCAGUCGAACACAGACCCGGGUGGGUUUGAUGUUCAGCCGCUGGACCGACACAAGGUUACUUCAUACGUCAGAAGUCAUCGGUUACAGGUUCUUCGUAGUCGAACUCCAGAACUCCAACAGUCACAACCGAGCGCCCGUUUCUGUAUUGUACAUCAUGUGGACGCUUAGUGCGGUUUCCUGCUGGCUACUGCUUCAAAGCGUAUCAUCCCAAACGACCAAAACCACCCAAUCUCCCAUGCUUAA